rnacentral:rRNA from 1 species
UACGGAGGAUGCGAGCGUUAUCCGGAUUUAUUGGGUUUAAAGGGUGCGUAGGCGGAUCAUUAAGUCAGUGGUCAAAUUGAGGGGCUCAACCCCUUCCCGCCAUUGAAACUGGCGAUCUUGAGUGGAAGAGAAGUAUGCGGAAUGCGUGGUGUAGCGGUGAAAUGCAUAGAUAUCACGCAGAACCCCGAUUGCGAAGGCAGCAUGCCGGCUUCCGACUGACGCUGAAGCACGAAAGCGUGGGGAUCGAACAGG